AGUGAACGCUGGCGGUAGGCCUAACACACGCAAGUCGAACGGCAGCACAGUCAGAGCUUGCUCUUACGGGUGGCGAGUGGCGGACGGGUGAGGAAUACAUCGGAAUCUACUUUUUCGUGGGGGAUAACGUAGGGAAACUUACGCUAAUACCGCAUACGACCUACGGGUGAAAGCAGGGGAUCUUCGGACCUUGCGCGAUUGAAUGAGCCGAUGUCGGAUUAGCUAGUUGGCGGGGUAAAGGCCCACCAAGGCGACGAUCCGUAGCUGGUCUGCGAGGAUGAUCAGCCACACUGGAACUGAGACACGGUCCAGACUCCGACGGGAGGCAGCAGUGGGGAAUAUUGGACAAUGGGCGCAAGCCUGAUCCAGCCAUACCGCGUGGGUGAAGAAGGCCUUCGGGUUGUAAAGCCCUUUUGUUGGGAAAGAAAAGCAGCAGGUUAAUACCCCGCUGUUCUGACGGUACCCAAAGAAUAAGCACGGGCUAAGUUCGUG
rnacentral:rRNA from 1 species